CAAUAGCGUAUAUUUAAGUUGUUGCAGUUAAAAAGCUCGUAGUUGGAUUUCGGAUGGGAUUUGCCGGUCCGUCGUUACGAUGUGCACUGGCCAGUCCUAUCUUGUUGUCGGGGACUAGCUCCUUGGAUUCACUUCCUGGGACUAGGAGCUGACGAGGUUACUUUGAGUAAAUUAGAGUGUUCAAAGCAAGCCUACGCUCUGAAUACAUUAGCAUGGAAUAACACGAUAGGACUCUGGCUUAUCUUGUUGGUCUGUGAGACCAGAGUAAUGAUUAAGAGGGACAGUCGGGGACAUUCGUAUUUCAUUGUCAGAGGUGAAAUUCUUGGAUUUAUGAAAGACGGACUUCUGCGAAAGCAUUUGUCAAGGAUGUUUUCAUUAA
rnacentral:rRNA from 1 species